AAGUCGUAACAAGGUUUCCGUAGGUGAACCUGCGGAAGGAUCAUUAUUGAAAUAAACCUGAACAGGUUGUUGCUGGUCUUUCCUAGACAUGUGCACGCUUGUUGUUUUAUUUUUCCAACUGUGCACAUAUUGUAGACCUGGAGCUCUCUUUAUUGUUCGGAUAGAUUGAGGACUGCCAUGAUUGGCUUUGCCUUGCAUUUCCAGGUCUAUGUUACAUUUUCACAUCGUGUUUCAGAAUGCUGGAGAUACAAAAAUAUAUAUACAACUUUCAGCAACGGAUCUCUUGGCUCUCGCAUCGAUGAAGAACGCAGCGAAAUGCGAUAAGUAAUGUGAAUUGCAGAAUUCAGUGAAUCAUCGAAUCUUUGAACGCAUCUUGCGCUCCUUGGUAUUCCGAGGAGCAUGCCUGUUUGAGUGUCAUCAAGUUUUCAACCGCACCAGGUUUAUUCCUGGUGUGGCUUGGAUUUGGGGGGUUUUUUUGCAGGCUUCCAAGUCGGCUCCCCUGAAAAGCAUUAGUGGUAUCUGAGCAGAAAGACCACCUUGAGCAUGAUAAAUAACUAUGCCACUGGUGUGUGUCUGAUGCAAGCUGCUUUCCAACCCUUGCGCAUUUGACAAAUUUGACCUCAAAUCAGGUAGGACUACCCGCUGAACUUAAGCAUAUCAAUAAGCGGAGGAAAAGAAACUAACAAGGAUUCCCCUAGUAACUGCGAGUGAAGCGGGAAGAGCUCAAAUUUAAAAUCUGGUGGUUCUUGACCAUCCGAGUUGUAAUCUAGAGAAGUGUUACCUGUGCUGGACCGUGUACAAGUCUCCUGGAAUGGAGCAUCAUGGAGGGUGAGAAUCCCGUCUUUGACAUGGACUGCCUGUACAUUAUGGUGCGCUCUCAAAGAGUCGAGUUGUUUGGGAAUGCAGCUCAAAAUGGGUGGUAAAUGCCAUCUAAAGUUAAAUAUUGGCGAGAGACCGAUAGCGAACAAGUACCGUGAGGGAAAGAUGAAAAGAACUUUGGAAAGAGAGUUAAACAGUACGUGAAAUUGCUGAAAGGGAAACGCUUGAAGUCAGUCGCGUUGGCCAGAAAUCAGCCUUGCUUUUGCUUGGUGUACUUUCUUGUCGACGGGUCAGCAUCAGUUUUGAUCACCGGACAAGGGCUUUGGGAAUGUGGCAUCUUUUGAUGUGUUAUAGCCCACUGUCGCAUACGGUGGUUGGGAUUGAGGAACUCAGCACGCCGCAAGGCCGGGUCUGUCUCUGACCACGUUCGUGCUUAGGAUGCNGGCAUAAUGGCUUUAAUCGACC
rnacentral:rRNA from 1 species